rnacentral:rRNA from 1 species
CCUACGGGAGGCAGCAGUGAGGAAUAUUGGUCAAUGGGCGAGAGCCUGAACCAGCCAAGUCGCGUGAGGGAGUACUGCCCUAUGGGUUGUAAACCUCUUUUGUCGGGGAGCAAAAGCCGGACGUGUCCGGCUGUGAGAGGACCCGAAGAAAAAGCAUCGGCGAACUCCGUGCCAGCAGCCGCGGUAAUACGGAGGAGGCGAGCGUUAUCCGGUUUUAUUGGGUUUAAAGGGUGCGCAGGCGGAUUUUUAAGUCAGCGGUAAAAUCGUGGGGCUCAACCCCAUCCAGCCGUUGAAACUGGGGAUCUAGAGUGUGCGAGAGGUAUGCGGAAUGCGUGGUGUAGCGGUGAAAUGCAUAGAUAUCACGCAGAACCCCGAUUGCGAAGGCAGCAUACCGGUGCACAACUGACGCUCAGGCACGAAAGCGUGGGUAUCGAACAGGAUUAGAUACCCCAGUAGUC